ACUCAAAUGAAUAGACGGGGGCCCGCACAAGCAGUGGAGCAUGUGGUUCAAUUCGAUGCAACGCGAAGAACCUUACCUGGGCUUGAAAAGCAAGAUCUAUUCCCGUGAAAGCGGGAAGAACCGCAAGGAAAUCUUGUACAGAUGCUGCAUGGCUGUCGUCAGCUCGUGCCGUGAGGUGUUGGGUUAAGUCCCGCAACGAGCGCAACCCUUGUCUUUAGUUGCCACCGGGUAAUGCCGGGCACUCUAAAGAGACUGCCUACGCAAGUAGUGAGGAAGGUGGGGAUGACGUCAAGUCCGCAUGGCUCUUACGCCCAGGGCCACACACGUGCUACAAUGGCAACUACAAACCGCUGCAAAGCCGCAAGGCGAAGCCAAUCGGUAAAAAGUUGUCUCAGUUCGGAUCGGAGUCUGAAACUCGACUCCGUGAAGCUGGAAUUGCUAGUAAUCGGAGAUCAGCACGCUCCGGUGAAUACGUUCCCGGGCCUUGUACACACCGCCCGU
rnacentral:rRNA from 1 species